rnacentral:rRNA from 1 species
UGGGGAAUAUUGCGCAAUGGGGGGAACCCUGACGCAGCCAUGCCGCGUGAAUGAAGAAGGCCUUAGGGUUGUAAAGUUCUUUCGGUAUUGAGGAAGGUUGAUGUGUUAAUAGCACAUCAAAUUGACGUUAAAUACUAAAGAAGCACCGGCUAACUCCGUGCCAGCAGCCGCGGUAAUACGGAGGGUGCGAGCGUUAAUCGGAAUAACUGGGCGUAAAGGGCACGCAGGCGGUUAUUUAAGUGAGGUGUGAAAGCCCUGGGCUUAACCUAGGAAUUGCAUUUCAGACUGGGUAACUAGAGUACUUUAGGGAGGGGUAGAAUUCCACGUGUAGCGGUGAAAUGCGUAGAGAUGUGGAGGAAUACCGAAGGCGAAGGCAGCCCCUUGGGAAUGUACUGACGCUCAUGUGCGAAAGCGUGGGGAGCAAACAGGAUUAGAUACCCUGGUAGUCCACGCUGUAAACGCUGUCGAUUUGGGGGGUGGGGUUUAACUCUGGCGCCCGUAGCUAACGUGAUAAAUCGACCGCCUGGGGAGUACGGCCGCAAGGUUA